rnacentral:rRNA from 1 species
GGGUGAGUAACACGUGGAUAACCUACCUAUAAGACUGGGAUAACUUCGGUAAACCGGAGCUAAUACCGGAUGAUAUUUUGAACCGCAUGGUUCAAAAGUGAAAGACGGUCUUGCUGUCACUUAUAGAUGGAUCCGCGCUGCAUUAGCUAGUUGGUAAGGUAACGGCUUACCAAGGCAACGAUGCAUAGCCGACCUGAGAGGGUGAUCGGCCACACUGGAACUGAGACACGGUCCAG